AUGAACGCUGGCGGCGUGCCUAAUACAUGCAAGUCGAGCGAACAGAUGAGGAGCUUGCUCCUCUGACGUUAGCGGCGGACGGGUGAGUAACACGUGGAUAACCUACCUAUAAGACUGGGAUAACUUCGGGAAACCGGAGCUAAUACCGGAUAAUAUAUUGAACCGCAUGGUUCAAUAGUGAAAGACGGUUUUGCUGUCACUUAUAGAUGGAUCCGCGCCGCAUUAGCUAGUUGGUAAGGUAACGGCUUACCAAGGCAACGAUGCGUAGCCGACCUGAGAGGGUGAUCGGCCACACUGGAACUGAGACACGGUCCAGACUCCUACGGGAGGCAGCAGUAGGGAAUCUUCCGCAAUGGGCGAAAGUCUGACGGAGCAACGCCGCGUGAGUGAUGAAGGUCUUCGGAUCGUAAAACUCUGUUAUUAGGGAAGAACAAAUGUGUAAGUAACUAUGCACGUCUUGACGGUACCUAAUCAGAAAGCCACGGCUAGCUACGUG
rnacentral:rRNA from 1 species